rnacentral:lncRNA from 1 species
GCGUGGGCGUGCGCGGGUGGUGGCUGGCAAGCCUGCGCCAGGCCCUGGAAGUCAAAGCGGUAGGCGUAGCGCUUGCCGUGCACCUUGCUCAUGAUGUUUUUGUCGUAGUAGUAGCGCAGCGCGCGACUUAGCUUGUCGUAGUUCAUGUUAGGCUUGCUCUUGCGCUCGCCCCAGCGCCGCGCCACCUCGUCCGGGUCGGUGAGCUUGAACUCGCCGUGGCCGCCCUCCCACGCGAUGCAACCGGCGUUCGCGCGAUCUGCCAGCAGCUCCAGGAGAAACUGCCACAACUGGAUCUGCCCGCUGCCUGUGGGGAACGGGAGCAGUUAGCCACGGACUGGGGCAGGCAAAGACUGCACAGCGGUGCGGUACAAGCCAGCCGGGUGCAGGAGGUUGAACUGCCCAACCAGCUGAGGUCCUGUCCAGAGAUCCAGACAGAAUGGUCAGUUAUGCACGUAGAUGAAGGUCCUUGGCCCCACCUAUACGAGCAGUAAACAGUCCCUACCACCCAAAGGCAUACAGUAAAACAGGCCCAGCUUGAAGAAGCACUAUAUGCCAGACAAGAAGAACAGAGAGAAGCUCCGUGUACUGAGAAAAGAGACCAACUCUCAGAGGCUCCCAUCCUCCCCACCUCCAGGUGCGCUGAUCUCUGUGCUGCAGUGGAAGAUGCCAGAACUCUGCCGGGGAGGGUGGUGGUGGGCAAUCCCGAAGAAAGAGGUAGGAUUGCAAAAGGAUUGUGCUGGAUUCCUGGCUGGUUUUCCUACAGAUCUCAGGGUAACUGAUAGUGGCCAAGUGUCAUAUGCAGGCAAGGGGUGUGUGUGUGUAGGGGGGUGAGUGACCCAGAACUCACACUUUCCUGUUUUGAAGCCUUAAGCAGACAAACUGCCCCCCCCCC